AGAGUUUGAUCCUGGCUCAGGAUAAGCGCUAGCGGCAGGCCUAACACAUGCAAGUCGAGGGGCAGCGGGUGGAGUAUUUCGGUACUCCUGCCGGCGACCGGCGCACGGGUGCGUAACGCGUAUGCAACCUACCUUUAACAGGGGGAUAAUCCGAAGAAAUUUGGUCUAAUACCCCAUAAUAUCAUUUAAGGCAUCUUAGAUGGUUGAAAAUUCCGAUGGUUAGAGAUGGGCAUGCGUUGUAUUAGCUAGUUGGUGAGGUAACGGCUCACCAAGGCUACGAUACAUAGGGGGACUGAGAGGUUUUCCCCCCACACUGGUACUGAGACACGGACCAGACUCCUACGGAGGCA
rnacentral:rRNA from 1 species